rfam:Beta vulgaris subsp. vulgaris contig218817.1, whole genome shotgun sequence.
AGAGUGGUGGUAUAGUGGUUAGCACGCCUGACAUGUAAUCAGGAGACACAGGUUCGAUUCCUGUCUGCUCAA